rnacentral:lncRNA from 1 species
GUGCUAACCACAGACGGCUUCCAACACGUGAAGCCACGCUGCCCGCCCCGGCAGGGUUCCCCUUGUUACAGGGUCGUAGGGCUGCUGCCAAGGUUUUUUUUCCUUUUUCUCUCUUUCCUUUUCUUUCUUUCCUUUUCUUCUGUCCUUUUCUUCUGUCCUGUUGAUUUUUUAUCUUCCCUUGUUUUUCCUUCCUUCUUUCCUUUUUCUUCUGUCAUUUUUUUCCCUUUAUUCUCUUUCCUUUUUUUCUUUUUUCUUUCCUUUUUCCUUUCCUCUUGUCUUUCCCUUGUCUUUCCCUUUUUCUUUCCAUUCUUUUUCUUUCUUCCCUUUCUCUUUUCUCUUUUUUAUUUCCUUUUCCUUUCCUUUUUUCUCUUCCUUUUUUUCCUCUUUGUUUCCCCCCUUUCCCUUUCCCCUUUUGUCUUUCUUUUUUUCUUUCCUCUUUUCUCUCCCUUUUCCUUUCCUUUUUUCUCCUUCCCUUUUUCUUAUUCUUUCUUUCUUCUCGCUUUCCUUCUCUUUCCCUUUUUUCUGUAUCUCUUUCUCCUUUCACUUCCCUUUCUCUUUGAUUUUUUCUUUGUCUUUCCCUCUUUCCUGCUUUCUUCCCUUUUUAUCUUUCCCCUUUUCCUAUUUUUUCCUCCCUUCUUCUCUUUCCUUCUUCCUCUUUUCCUUUUUUUGGCUUUCCUCUGUUUCCUUUCAUUUUUUCUUUUCCCCUUUUUCCUUCCUUUUUUACUCUUUUCUUCUCUUUCAUUUUCUUUCUUUCCUUGUCUAUCCUUUUGCUCUUUCUCUUUUCUUUUCCUUUUCUUUCCUUUUUUCUCUUUCCAUUUAAGCUUUCCUUUUUUUCUUGCCCUUUUUUUGCUUCCCUUUUCUCCUUUUUUCUUUUCCCGUCUUUGUUUCUCUUUCUUUUUUUACUUCUUUCCUCUUUCUCUUUCCUUUCUUAGUCUCUUCUUUCUCUUUCCUCUGUUCUUUCCCCCUUUUUUUCUUGUCUUUCUUUUGCCUUUUUUCUCUUUUUUCCUUUUUUCUUUUCUUCUUUCCCUUUUCUUUUCAUCUUUUUUCUCUUCCCUCUUUUCUUUCCUCUUUUCGUCACUGUUUUCUUUCUUUCCAUUUUUCUCUUUCCAUCUUUUUUUCUCUCCAUUCUUCUUUCUUCUCUUUCCUUUUUUCUCGUUUUCUUUCCUUUCUCCCUUUCCUCUUCUUUCCAUUUUUCUAUCCUUUCACCUCUCUCCUGUUUUUCUUUCCUUUUUUCUCUCAUAUUUUCCUUCCUAUUUUCUUUUUCCUUUUAUUUUCCUGCCUUCUUUUCUUUCUUUGUUCCUCUUUCCUUUGUCUCUUUCCUGUUUGCCUCUUUCCUUUCUUCUUUCCUCUUUUCUUUCCCUUAAUUCCCGUUCCUUUUGGGCUCUUUUCUUUUUUCUUUCCUUUUGCCUUUUGCCUUUUCCUUUUCUUUCUUUUUUUUCCUUUCUUUUUUCUUUCCUUUUUUUCUCUGCCUUGUUUCUUUUUUGCCGCUUUCCUUUCACUUUCCUUUAUCGCUCUUUUCAUUCCUUCCUUCCUUUCAUUUUCUGUUCUCUUCCUUUUUUGUGCGUGGCUUUCCUUUUUCUUUCUCUUUUCUCUUUCCAUUCUGCCUUUCCUCUUUUCUUUCCAUUUUUCUUUCUUUUUGCUCUUUCCUUCUCUUUCCCUUUUUGCUCUUUCUUUUUUCCCUUGUCUUUGUUUUCUUGCCUUUCCCUUCCUUUUGCUUUUCCCUUUUUUCUUUCCUUUUUUCCUGUUCUUCUUUCUCCUUUUGUUUCUUUUUGCUCUUUCCUUUUUUCUAUAUCCUUUUUUCUCUUCCCUUUUUUCUAUACUCUCUUGUCUCCUCUUUUUUUUCUCUUUCCUUUUUUUCUUUCCUUUUGUCUUUCUCAGUUCUCUCUUUCCUUCUUUCUCUCAUCUUUUCAUUCCUUUACUCUGUUUCUUUUUAUAAGGCUGCUGCCAAGGCCUUUUUUUCCCUCUUGCCUUUUCUUUCUUUCCUUGCCUUUUCUUUCUUUCUUUCUUUGUUUUUCUCCCAUUUUUUCUUGUCUUUCCUUUUCUAUCCUUUUCUUCCCUUUUUUCUUCUUCCCUUUUUUCACUUUAUUUCUCUCUCCUUUUUCUUCUCUUCCCUUUUCUCUUUGGUUCUUUCUCUUCCUUUUUUUCAUUUCCUUUCUCUUUCCAUUUUCUCUUUCCAUUUUCUCUCCUGUUUCUUUCCCCGUUUCUUUCCUUUUUAUCUCUUUUCUCUCUUUCCUUUCUCCUCUUUCCUUUUUUUCACUUUCUUUUUUUUUUCUAUUUCUUUUCUUAUCUUCCCAUUUUUAUUUUCUUUCUUUUCUCUUUCCUUUUUUUUUUCUCUUUCCCGUUUUUACAGAUUAG